rnacentral:rRNA from 1 species
AAAUAGAACUUUGCAGAGAGAGUUAACAGGGCGUGAAACCGUUAAUUGGCAAACGAAUCGGAGCCACGAAGUCGUUUCGUUGAUAGUUGGGCCGAGUUCAGUUGGUGAGCUAAAACUCAUUGGCGUAUUCUCGAGUUCGACCAUCUUUGUAAGCGUACACUGCAACCAGUUAGACAAUUGAUCAUGGGUCCAGUUGAUGCAUCUAAGGGCAACCAAGGGUGUAUUAGCGAAGCAUUUGUUUGUCCGUGUUAGUAGUGGUGCGGUGUACCUCGGUGCAUUUGUGUCGCUUAGCAUGUGAUAAGUGAACUAUGAUCAAAUACUGACUGGCAAAAUGAAAAUCGCCUCAGUGCGUUUCCACAAAAUGCGGCUGAUUGCAUUAGGUAUCUACGUGCUUGGCCAUUGGGUCUAAGCUCAGCGUUUUUGAAUUUGGACUUGCUUGCUACCAGUGGGGCAACUCCUGGUGCUUGUAUAGUUUCCAUCUAAUCGAGCGUUGACUUGGCUUUAUGUUCGUCCAAGUAUGAAACGAUUGGGUGCCAAUGUAAGUUGGUUUGCAAUUAUUGGCAGUGAGUAGGUCGGCUUUCCGAACGACCC